AAGUCGUAACAAGGUUUCCGUAGGUGAACCUGCGGAAGGAUCAUUAGUGAAUUUUAGGGUGCUCUCCUUCGCGGAGAGGCCUGACCUCCACUCUCCAACACUGUGCACUAUUUGGCUUGCGAGAAGAAGCGCUUCAGCGUGGUAAUCGAGCAAGCGGCUUCAUUUUAAACACUAGUUAAAGAAUGUAACCAAAAACAAAACUAAAAAAACUUUCAACAACGGAUCUCUUGGCUCUC
rnacentral:misc_RNA from 1 species